rnacentral:rRNA from 1 species
GUAAGGAAUAUUGGACAAUGGACGCAAGUCUGAUCCAGCCAUGCCGCGUGAAGGAUUAAGGUCCUCUGGAUUGUAAACUUCUUUUAUAAGGGACGAAAAAGGCUUUUCUAAGUCGUCUGACGGUACCUUAUGAAUAAGCACCGGCUAACUCCGUGCCAGCAGCCGCGGUAAUACGGAGGGUGCAAGCGUUAUCCGGAUUCACUGGGUUUAAAGGGUGCGUAGGCGGGCAGGUAAGUCAGUGGUGAAAUCCUAGAGCUUAACUCUAGAACUGCCAUUGAUACUAUCUGUCUUGAAUAUUGUGGAGGUAAGCGGAAUAUGUCAUGUAGCGGUGAAAUGCUUAGAUAUGACAUAGAACACCUAUUGCGAAGGCAGCUUACUACGCAUAUAUUGACGCUGAGGCACGAAAGCGUGGGGAUCAAACAGGAUUAGAAACCCUUGUAGUCC